ACCAGAUUUCAUUUGUAUAUGCACUGUUCAUCCUUUUUCAUUGACCAGGUGGCUUGAUUGUUGUUUUGGCAAAGUGUGUCGCCGAAGCCACUAUGUUUUCUGCGAUUUUAUCUAUAAGUACCUUCAUAGCUCAGUUGGUAGAGCACAUGACUUGAAGAAGUUCCUGAAACGCUGUGGUCCAAAGGUCCCUGGUUCAACUCCAGCUCCAAGCACCAGAUUUCAUUUGUAUAUGCACUGUUCAUCCUUUUUCAUUGACCAGGUGGCUUCAUUGUUGUGUUGGCAAAGUGUGUCGCCGAAGCCACUAUGUUUUCUGCGUUUUUAUCUAUAAGUACCUUCAUAGCUCAGUUGGUAGAGCACAUGACUUUAAGAAGUUCCUGAAACGCUGUGGUCCAAAGGUCACUGGUUCAACUCCUGCUCCAAACACCAGAUUUCAUUGGUCUAUACACUGUUCAACCUUUUUCAUUGACCAUGUUGGUUCAAUAGUUAUGUUGGCAAAGUGUGUCGCCGAAGCCACUAUGUUUUCUGCGUUUUUAUCUAUAAGCACCUUCAUAGCUCAGUUGGUAGAGCACAUGACUUUAAGAAGUUCCUGAAAUGCUGUGGUCCAAAGGUCGCUGUUUCAACUCCAGCUCCAAGCACCAGAUUUCAUUUGUAUAUGCACUGUUCAUCCUUUUUCAUUGACCAGGUGGCUUGAUUGUUGUUUUGGCAAAGUGUGUCGCCGAAGCCACUAUGUUUUCUGCGAUUUUAUCUAUAAGUACCUUCAUAGCUCAGUUGGUAGAGCACAUGACUUGAAGAAGUUCCUGAAACGCUGUGGUCCAAAGGUCCCUGGUUCAACUCCA